rnacentral:rRNA from 1 species
GGCUCAGAACGAACGCUGGCGGCGUGCUUAACACAUGCAAGUCGAACGCGAAAGGGACUUCGGUCCUGAGUAAAGUGGCGCACGGGUGAGUAACGCGUAGAUAACCUGUCUUCAUGUCUGGAAUAAUACGCCGAAAGGGGUACUAAUACCGGAUAUUCUUGCUUUUCAUAAGUUAUGCAAGCAAAGGUGGCCUCUGCAUAUGCUACUGCAUGAAGAGGGGUCUGCGUACCAUUAGCUAGUAGGUGGGGUAAUGGCCUACCUAGGCGACGAUGGUUAGCGGGUCUGAGAGGGUGAUCCGCCACACUGGCACUGGAACACGGGCCAGACUCCUACGGGAGGCAGCAGUGAGGAAUAUUGCGCAAUGGGGGAAACCCUGACGCAGCGACGCCGCGUGAGUGAGGAAGGCCUUCGGGUCGUAAAGCUCUGUCAAGAGGAAAGAAGUGUACAAUGGCUAAUACCUGUUGUAUUUGACGGUACCUCUAAAGGAAGCACCGGCUAACUCCGUGCCAGCCGCGGC